UCAUAUAUACAAAUAAUUCUCAUUGCUGCAGAUUUUAAACUUCCACGGUGGUCGAUUAUCUGUGUUAAUUCUGUUCGUCGGUUGUUGCAGGGUAAUGUUGUGGGAGAUUGUGGUCAUUGUGGUGACGGUGGUGACCGGCAAGAAGUACGGAUGGAAGUCUUUGAAGCGCAUAAAGGUAUCAACUAUGUGAUGGAUGAUUAUGUAUGGUGAACAGGAAACUGUUCUAGGCAAUGUACCAGCAGGACAAUUAUGAAAAAUCUCAGAACAGCCAGUAUCCUGAACACAAUUGAAAGUCAUCAAAAUCCAGGCCCUGCUUAUUACCUACUCUGCUGGCAGAUGCGAGAACCCCAGAGUCAGCACAAGGGAGAAUCCUGCGGCCUGAUGUCAUUGGGAUGGUUAUGCCAUAAUAAACAGUUAUGAUUAGAAGGAAGAUCUAUUGAUUAAAACCUUUCUGGAAUGCAUGGAACAUCACAUUUGUCAACAGCAUAACUGACAUGUGAAU